AUGCUCAUGAUGAUAGGAUAUCCAUCUUUCCAAUAAAUUCCUUUAUCUUGGCUAAGUUUAUGCACUUGUUAAUGUUCUGUAUCAUCCAUCAGGACUUGGGUGUUUAUUUCUGUGCAAUUUUAUAUGGGAUGUGAAGGCUCCAAGCUGGGAUUUGAGCAGUAUGAGCCAACCAAACAAGGGGAUUUUUCGUUCACUUUAGUAAAUGCAUGAGGUUGUUUACUCAAUAACGCAUAAACUGCAUCCAAGCAAAACUUAAUUAGGUGCUCUACCACGAAAAACCUAUGAGAAGAGAGGAAUAGAGAACAGCUGGUUCUGUCAGCUGUUACAGCUUGCAGACCUGCAAAGGAGCCUCAAUAAGGAUUCAGGUGAAAAAUGCAGGCUGUGGGAAGGAACAUGUAACGUGGAGUGGGAAUUACCCUGAACCAGGGGUACUCCAGAUGUUCCAGCAGUUCACUGAGGUGGGUUUUUUGUUUGUUUAUUUGGUUUUGUGUUGUUGUUGUUGUUUUUUAUGAUUCUUGCAAAUAGAAAUUCCCUUUAAUUGAGAAUUUUGCUGGCAGAUAUCCCCUGCUCUACUGAAUAUUAGGGGAAAUGGAGGCCAGUUACAUUUGUCAGUAAGUCCGAAGGAGCAGAAAUGU
rnacentral:lncRNA from 1 species